rnacentral:siRNA from 1 species
UGUGAUGCAGCUAGUUUUCGUAAU